UGAAAGAAGUCGAAUAUUCCGGGAAACUCAUUGCGUGUACGAAGCAAGGUCAUAUAAAUUUUAUUUAAUCAUUGUCACGCAUUUCCAAUUUUAAUAUUACAUAUACAUUACUACAAUUUUAAUAUUAAUCUGUAGUUGUAGCAUAUGUUUAUUUUUUAUUUUUGAAGAAUUGUGAAGAAUUACUAUGUCAAUGUUGGGAUUGACAGCACUGUUUAGUGUGUUAGUUGGUAUUUCGUACGGAUGGGGUGAUGUAAUUAUUUACGACAAAUCAGCACAGGCUAAAUGUAGUGAGAUCACACGAAGAGCAACUAGGGACUGCAGGUGGCCCGCGGGACUAAAUAUGCAAGUGGAUCAGGUCGCAGCUGGGGGGAAGAUUGCUGCAUACAAAAUCCAAUGGUUUAAUGGUCAUUGGAGUGGUUGGUACGUUCCAGGGUACAACGACAUGGACGGAAAAUUCAACCUAUCCAGCAGAAGAUGUUCAAUGCCAUUCAAAAAGAAAAGUCUAAGACGAAUGUGGUCUUAUUUCUAUGAUCAUACGCACAAAUUUAUAGUGUGCAAGGCUUAAAAAUGCUUGAUAGAAAAAAUAUAAUAAAAGAAAUAUAUAAUGA